AGUGAACGCUGGCGGUAGGCCUAACACAUGUAAGUCGAACGGCAGCACAGUAAGAGCUUGCUCUUACGGGUGGCGAGUGGCGGACGGGUGAGGAAUACAUCGGAAUCUACUUUUUCGUGGGGGAUAACGUAGGGAAACUUACGCCAAUACCGCAUACGACCUACGGGUGAAAGCAGGGGAUCUUCGGACCUUGCGCGAUUCAAUGAGCCGAUGUCGGAUUAGCUAGUUGGCGGGGUAAAGGCCCACCAAGGCGACGAUCCGUAGCUGGUCUGAGAGGAUGAUCAGCCACACUGGAACUGAGACACGGUCCAGACUCCUACGGGUGGCAGCAGUGGGGAAUAUUGGACAAGGGGCGCAAGCCUGAUCCAGCCAUACCGCGUGGGUGAAGAAGGCCUUCGGGUUGUAAAGCCCUUUUGUGGGGAAAGAAAAGCAGCGGGUUAAUGCCCUGCUGUUCUGACGGUACCCAAAGAAUAAGCGCCGGCUAACUUCGUG
rnacentral:rRNA from 1 species